rnacentral:lncRNA from 1 species
AUUUCACAUGGCACACAUGGGUAAUAAUUAGAUGAUCUAGAAAUAGAGUAGCACAAGUAAUACAUAAGCAUAAACAUGUAUACAUAUAUAGAUUCAUCAUAUGUACUAAUUCAUUAGCAAGUCCUAACAAUGUGUUGUGUCCAAUAUUUUUGCAAAAUUUAUGUGUCCGUGCAUCUUUAUUGUGUUGCAUUUGAAUCCCAUCUUUGUGUCCUUGCUGCUUAGUCAAGAACUAGAUCGAUAUUCCACUAGAUAUUGCCAUAUCUUUUCAGUGUUUUAGUAUCAGUUUAUUUGCCCUUUCAUCAAUAGUCUCUGUAUAUCACUGUCUACAGAAAAUUGAGAAGUUAUGCACACAAACACAUAUGUGGCGGAGACAUAAAAGCACGGCCACUUAUGUGUGCAGACACACAUUAUCUUUGAAAGAAAAAUUUAAUAGCCAGUAUAAUAGUGAGGGUAGAUCAUUGCACUUUUGCAGUGCAACGAAAUUUAAACUUACCAUAUUAUCCAUGCUGAGUAAUGAAAUGUUCAAAGUUCAAAGAAAGUCAGCCUUCCGUCAAUAGAUUGAUUGGUUAUACUCUAGCAACAUCUGAUUCAUGCAGUAGAUAUUAGCAUGUAAAAAACCGCCAGUCAAAGCCUCUCAGCAAGAUGUCUGUCUGUUACAAAAAUAAAGGAAGUCAGCAAAGGAAAAUGACAACAGCCACCAAUAAUGUCUUAUUUACCUUUUUAUUUUAUCUAUUGAAACAAAUGUAAAAUUAUUAGCCCCCACUUGGCAUACAUCAAUUACUACUUGGAAAUACACUUGUUGAUUCUUUCUUUGGGUUGGAUUAGCAGAAGAGGGAGAAAUCUUAUUAGUCUUCCAAAUAAAAAAGAACAUGUCAUAAUAUCCAGCCAAAAUUUGGCCUCUUUUGGCUUAAAAGCCAAAAUUUCGCUACUUUUGGAGAAAAAGCAAAAGAAGCGAGGUCAAAACAAUCUAUCAACAAAAUUUGUCUGCUAAUAUAAUCAGCGGGUACCUGGUUAUAUUUGCCCAACCAGAAUUUCCAUUUUUUUUCAUUUAUCGGAAUAUGAAAUUCGUGCGAAUAAUACCAGAACCGCUCCAACUGGGCUUUAAUCAUCAACCAUCAGUAUCCCAAAAAAUUUCUUUCUUUCUUUUUUUUACAGUAUGUUUUCCCAAAAAAAAAAUAAUAAUAAAUAAUUAAA